rnacentral:rRNA from 1 species
UACGAAGGGGGCUAGCGUUGCUCGGAAUCACUGGGCGUAAAGGGUGCGUAGGCGGGUCUUUAAGUCAGGGGGGAAAUCCUGGAGCUCAACUCCAGAACUGCCUUUGAUACUGAAGAUCUUGAGUUCGGGAGAGGUGAGUGGAACUGCGAGUGUAGAGGUGAAAUUCGUAGAUAUUCGCAAGAACACCAGUGGCGAAGGCGGCUCACUGGCCCGAUACUGACGCUGAUGCACGAAAGCUAGGGGAGCAAACAGG